UACAGAGGGUGCAAGCGUUGUUCGGAAUUAUUGGGCGUAAAGCGCGUGUAGGCGGUUGCCUAAGUCUGGUGUGAAAUCCCGGGGCUUAACUCCGGAAGUGCACUGGAUACUGGGUGACUAGAGGACGAGAGAGGACAGUGGAAUUCCUGGUGUAGGGGUGAAAUCCGUAGAUAUCAGGAGGAACAUCGGUGGCGAAGGCGGCUGUCUGGCUCGUAUCUGACGCUGAGACGCGAAAGCGUGGGGAGCAAACAGGAUUAGAUACCCUGGUAGUCCACGCCCUAAACGAUGGACACUAGUUGUCGGCAUACCUAAUUGUGUCGGUAACGUAGCUAACGCAUUAAGUGUCCCGCCUGGGAAGUACGGUCGCAAGAUUAAA
rnacentral:rRNA from 1 species